rnacentral:rRNA from 1 species
CCUACGGGUGGCAGCAGUGGGGAAUAUUGGACAAUGGGCGAAAGCCUGAUCCAGCAAUGCCGCGUGAGUGAUGAAGGCCCUAGGGUUGUAAAGCUCUUUUACCCGGGAUGAUAAUGACAGUACCGGGAGAAUAAGCUCCGGCUAACUUCGUGCCAGCAGCCGCGGUAAUACGAGGGGAGCUAGCGUUGUUCGGAAUUACUGGGCGUAAAGCGCGCGUAGGCGGUUUUUUAAGUCAGAGGUGAAAGCCCGGGGCUCAACCCCGGAAUUGCCUUUGAAACUGGAAAACUAGAAUCUUGGAGAGGUCAGUGGAAUUCCGAGUGUAGAGGUGAAAUUCGUAGAUAUUCGGAAGAACACCAGUGGCGAAGGCGACUGACUGGACAAGUAUUGACGCUGAGGUGCGAAAGCGUGGGGAGCAAACAGGAUUAGAUACCCGGGUAGUC